GGGCUCGUAGCUCAGCUGGCUAGAGCACGUCAUUUGCAAUGACGGGGUCGAGGGUUCGAGUCCCUCCGAGUCCA
rnacentral:tRNA from 1 species